rnacentral:rRNA from 1 species
UAGGGAAUCUUCCGCAAUGGGCGAAAGCCUGACGGAGCAACGCCGCGUGAGUGAUGAAGGUCUUCGGAUCGUAAAACUCUGUUAUUAGGGAAGAACAAAUGUGUAAGUAACUAUGCACGUCUUGACGGUACCUAAUCAGAAAUCCACGGCUAACUACGUGCCAGCAGCCGCGGUAAUACGUAGGUGGCAAGCGUUAUCCGGAAUUAUUGGGCGUAAAGCGCGCGUAGGCGGUUUUUUAAGUCUGAUGUGAAAGCCCACGGCUCAACCGUGGAGGGUCAUUGGAAACUGGAAAACUUGAGUGCAGAAGAGGAAAGUGGAAUUCCAUGUGUAGCGGUGAAAUGCGCAGAGAUAUGGAGGAACACCAGUGGCGAAGGCGACUUUCUGGUCUGUAACUGACGCUGAUGUGCGAAAGCGUGGGGAUCAAACAGG